AUACGGAGGAUGCGAGCGUUAUCCGGAUUUAUUGGGUUUAAAGGGUGCGUAGGCUGUGCGUUAAGUCAGGGGUGAAAUGCCGUCGCUCAACGACGGAGCUGCCCUUGAUACUGGCGUGCUGGAGUACGGAUGCCGUUGGAGGAAUGAGUGGUGUAGCGGUGAAAUGCUUAGAUAUCAGUCAGAACACCGAUUGCGAAGGCAUCUGACGAAUCCGUCACUGACGCUGAGGCACGAAAGCGUGGGGAUAGAACAGGAUUAGAUGCCCUGGUAUUCCACGCCGUAAACGAUGAUGACUAACCGUCGGCGAUAGACGGCCGGUGGCCAAGCGAAAGCGAUAAGUCAUCCACCUGGGGAGUACGGCGGCAACGAUGAAACUCAAAUGAAUUGACGGGG
rnacentral:rRNA from 1 species